GAUGAACGCUGGCGGCGUGCCUAAUACAUGCAAGUCGAGCGAACAGAUGAGGAGCUUGCUCCUCUGACGUUAGCGGCGGACGGGUGAGUAACACGUGGAUAACCUACCUAUAAGACUGGGAUAACUUCGGGAAACCGGAGCUAAUACCGGAUAAUAUAUUGAACCGCAUGGUUCAAUAGUGAAAGACGGUUUUGCUGUCACUUAUAGAUGGAUCCGCGCCGCAUUAGCUAGUUGGUAAGGUAACGGCUUACCAAGGCAACGAUGCGUAGCCGACCUGAGAGGGUGAUCGGCCACACUGGAACUGGGACACGGUCCAGACUCCUACGGGAGGCAGCAGUAGGGAAUCUUCCGCAAUGGGCGAAAGCCUGACGGAGCAAGGCCGCGUGAGUGAUGAAGGCCUUCGGAUCGUAAAACUCUGUUAUUAGGGAAGAACAAAUGUGUAAGUAACUAUGCACGUCUUGACGGUACCUAAUCAGAAAGCCACGGCUAACUACGUG
rnacentral:rRNA from 1 species